UACGUAGGGUGCGAGCGUUAAUCGGAAUUACUGGGCGUAAAGGGUGCGCAGGCGGUUAUAUAAGACAGAUGUGAAAUCCCCGGGCUCAACCUGGGAACUGCGUUUGUGACUGUAUGACUAGAGUACGGUAGAGAGGGGUGGAAUUCCCGGUGUAGAGGUGAAAUUCGUAGAUAUUGGGAAGAACACCGGUGGCGAAGGCGGCUCACUGGCUCAUUACUGACGCUCAGGCGCGACAGCGUGGGGAUCAAACAGG
rnacentral:rRNA from 1 species